rnacentral:rRNA from 1 species
AACGCGAAGAACCUUACCUGGUCUUGACAUCCACAGAACUUUCCAGAGAUGGAUUGGUGCCUUCGGGAACUGUGAGACAGGUGCUGCAUGGCUGUCGUCAGCUCGUGUUGUGAAAUGUUGGGUUAAGUCCCGCAACGAGCGCAACCCUUAUCCUUUGUUGCCAGCGGUCCGGCCGGGAACUCAAAGGAGACUGCCAGUGAUAAACUGGAGGAAGGUGGGGAUGACGUCAAGUCAUCAUGGCCCUUACGACCAGGGCUACACACGUGCUACAAUGGCGCAUACAAAGAGAAGCGACCUCGCGAGAGCAAGCGGACCUCAUAAAGUGCGUCGUAGUCCGGAUUGGAGUCUGCAACUCGACUCCAUGAAGUCGGAAUCGCUAGUAAUCGUGGAUCAGAAUGCCACGGUGAAUACGUUCCCGGGCCUUGUACACACCG